rnacentral:tRNA from 1 species
UGGGUGGUAGCUCAGUCGGUAGAGCAGCGGUCUCCAAAACCGCAGGUCGUGGGUUCGAGCCCUCUCACCCAG